UCCUACGGGAGGCAGCAGUGGGGAAUAUUGCACAAUGGGCGAAAGCCUGAUGCAGCCAUGCCGCGUGUGUGAAGAAGGCCUUCGGGUUGUAAAGCACUUUCAGCGAGGAGGAAAGGUUGACGGUUAAUACCGUCAGCUGUGACGUUACUCGCAGAAGAGCCCGUCCCCAU
rnacentral:rRNA from 1 species